UACAGAGGGGGCAAGCGUUAUUCGGAAUUAUUGGGCGUAAAGGGCGCGUAGGCGGCUUGGCAAGUGGAUGGUGAAAUCCCUCGGCUUAACCGAGGAACUGCCGUCCAAACUGCUUUGCUUGAGACCGGGAGAGGUGAGUGGAAUUCCCAGUGUAGCGGUGAAAUGCGUAGAUAUUGGGAGGAACACCGGUGGCGAAGGCGGCUCACUGGACCGGUACUGACGCUGAUGCGCGAAAGCGUGGGGAGCAAACGGG
rnacentral:rRNA from 1 species